CCUUCUGAAAAUAUCAAUAAAACAAAAUAAAUAAAACAAUAUAAAUAAAACAAAACAAACAAAGUGUCAUAUAAGACAGCCAGAUAGGGAAAAUAUGAGCGACAUGGCUGGAAAUAAAGAGGAGUUAAGGGUAUCCCACACUCACAAGACUGAACAACAUUAAAAUAGCCUAUAUUGUUAAAACUAGAUUAUUUUAUGUGCCUUGAGGCCCUGUUGUCCUUGUACCAUGUCUUUGUACUCUUUUCCAAACUAAGCAAUAACGUCAGAUCCCUGUUCAUUUAACUUGUUUGGCUCUACGGUGAAUGUUUUCUUACAUUUUGGAGUAGGUGAAAUUUAUUUAGACACAACCAGCCACUGACACCUUUGAAAACAUGUGUGCUGCCAGGUGAUGCUGGGGUGAGUGAGUGCAUCAACACGUCCCUCUUUGCAUCUGUCACAGUUUAUCAGCAGUAUGUCCAGGAAUAGCAACGCUGGACGGCUCACCCAUGACGUUCCUUUUAUAGACUUUGGGACAUGAACAGCAGGCCUCAUGUCCUCUGACUCUUUAAGUUCAAAGUAGGGCAACUAUUAAUUUUUUGUCUACAUUCUUGAUUCAAUUGUGUUCUUGGCCUGAAUAAGUCUGCAAAUAACACAAAGACAAAAGCGUUUCAUAAAAAGCCACUUUUCACAUUAUUUACUCACAACCCUAGAAAACCUUAAGCUUACUGUCACCAUAGCUAUGUGUAAAAACUAAUUUUACCACAAGAACAGCUUCAGACAAUUUAAUGACCUUUUGAAGCCCAAGUAAGUGAGAAAAGAGCUUUUUUGUUCAAAUCGAACACAACUAACAAAUGCCGAAGCAUUAACUGCACCAAAUUUCCUUUUCAUUGCUAAAAUACAAGCCAAGCAUGGGAAAGCUCCACUUACCUGAGAAAUGAAGUUGAGGCUGGUGAAGAAGGAGCUUGUGCCUCCAGUUACUGGAGCAGGAGAGAGAGAGCAGCAGUCACCACUGCUGAAAGAGACACGCAGUUAACUCCUCCUCUUAGGGAAUGAGUGCCAAUCAAGUAUUGUGCAAUGCAUGUGGCAGAGGUCCCCCCCCCCAAUAGUGUCCUACAAUAGCCUCCAAUCAGUUGAUGUCAACUGCGGGGGGCUCGACCUAUAUCCUCAGUGGGACAUCAUAUGAAGAGCUUCAUUUGACGAUUGUUUAGACAUAUUUCAUUUGCACUCAGUGACGCAAAGAGCAUCUUGUUUUAGUAUCUAGAACCUGUCUUUGUUUAGAUUUUACUCCUCAAAUAAAAGUAAACUUGAUUUAUUGUUGGACGGGAUCUUUUAGACAGUCUAAAUGGGAAUCAUCUGAAUGUAAUUGGAGAAAACAGAAGUGUGGAAGGACACUCACUCACUCAGAAGACUUGAGCACCACUUCAUUGCCAACACAUUUAAAAGUGUUGGCAAGAGAGUCCUGCAUGAAAAAUGGUGAUAGUGACCCCAACAACUAUGUCCAGCUCUAUAAAAUAUAAUAGCUUGGCUGAUGUGUUGGUUGAGGAAACCCGAAAGGUAUACACAUUAUAAAAUACAUUAAUUUUCUCCAUAUAAUCUGAGUUUGUCAUGAUCAUAUAAGUCAUGCAUCUCUUCGGGUAAACUCUUGGAAAGGAGAGAAGGAUUUUUUAAAGGAAAGAGUCAUUCAUUAUGUCAUCCAAAAGAACAAUCAGCACGUCUGAUUGAAGGAUGAGAAAUAUUUUAGUGGCCCAAUAUGUCCAUUCAAAGGGCCAGCAGCUCCCAAAGAGCCUUCGGGGAAAUUUCAUUGAGGUGGUUUAAUGUAAUUUUGUGAUCUAUAAUAACAUUAUCUCCUGAAUAUAAAUUCUUACAUCAUUUCUAAACCAUACACGUCGCAUUAAUUUCGGCCAUCGGUUCCGCCCAUUAUAAUAGUGUCAUCAAUGGGCGCGCGCUGUCCGGUGUGUGUAGACGGUUGCACGUGAAUCACCGUCAUGGCCAGCAGCUCUGAUGUGGUGAAGAAAGUCAUGCGGUUCAAACUUCAGCUCACAGACACAGCAGAGUCUGCUACGGUUCUAAAAACUUUGCAGAAACUCAAGGAUCUGAAUAUCACAUUAGACAUUCUUGCUGAAACUGGAAUUGGCAAAACGGUUAACUCAUUGCGCAGACAUGAACAAGCUGGAGAAUUGGCCAAGUCGCUAGUUAAGGGUUGGAAAAGAUUGGUCCCUAAAGAAUCCACAAGCAGCCACACAGAAGAUGGAGAUGCGUCAGAGAGUUUGUCUGUAAAAUACAAACUGGAUGACCAAAACUGUCCAAAUAAUGGAAGUUUGACAUUAGAGGAUUUAAACAAUAAUUGCUUAACAUCUCACUACAAGAACUUUUCAGAUAAGGUCUUAUUUAAAACAGGGAAUGUGAAAGCUGAUACGGAGAAAGAAUGUGAAGAACAGAUAAGACACGAGGACCAGAAUGAAAAUCAAGAAAAAAACCAGAGUAUCUCUCAGAAUGACGUCUUGCAAAAGGAAAUUGAAAUCCAAGAGGAUCAAAUGGAUAAUACAUUUGUUUCAAAGGGGAAGAAAAGUGACCAGAGUAACAGAAAAUCAGGAGAUGGUGAUAUUCCUCAGAAAUCCAGGUCUGAUUCCAGAGAAAAAAACCAAAGGAGCUCUGAUAGCGUAAGAUUAGGGUCAGAAAAAGAGUCAACUAAGAAAUUAAAGACAUCAAAAGAAUCGCCAAAGGAAGGCAAAGAGUCUUUUUCAUUUGAGUCCAGUGACAAACUCCCAAAAACUUUAAAACUGGCCAAUGUGAAAGACGACAGACCUUCAGGAAUAUCAGAGAGCUCCGAGGCCCAGAACAAAAAAAGGAAAAAAACGGAUAAAGAGAAACACACCACUCUAAAGUACAAACAAGAGUCUGAAAAUACCGAACACAAAAACAAAAAGGCUAAAACAAAGCACAAAGACAAGGGAAGUGACAGCCGCCCUGAGGAGCCCUCCAUGUCUUUUGAAUCUUGCUUGAACUAUGACGAGAAUGUUUUCAAGAGAAAAGAAAAAUCUGCAGUCAAGAAACCUCCCAAAAAGGUCAAGACUGCCGUAAAAGAGGAAGAAACUAAAGAUUCUGGCCUGAAACUUCUCAAGUCACCUGUGAUGUCUAUAAAUGUUACCUCUCCAAAACAGUUUAAGGAGUCUCUGAUGGACCUGAUGAAUAUUCCUUUACCUGCUGUUCUGCCUGAAUGCCAGUCAUCCAGUGUUGAUUACUUUGAGAGGAAAGUUGAGAAGGAAUCUGAUUUCUAUGACGUCUCUGAGGAGUCGGCAGGCUUCACUGGUCAGCGACUGAACAAGAAGAUGCAAGUGUACUCUGGUGCCAAGACUGUCUUCCUCCCAACCAUGAUGAGUUUGCACCAACAGUGUAUCCGCACACUCCAGAAUAAUAUUAACUUGCUCUAUGAAACUGGUGGAGUCCCGUUUGAAAUCCUCGAGCCGGUGUUGGAGAGGUGUACGCCAGAGCAGCUGCUACGCGUUGAAGAAUGCAACCCAAUCUACGUCGGAGUGACAGACCACUUAUGGGGGAAACAUUGUCAGAGGGACUUUAAAGACUCCAAACUUCAGGAGUAUGAAUCAUGGAAGGAGAUGUAUGUCAGGCUGUCUGAGGAGAGGGAGAGGAAACUCCAAAGACUGACAAAAAGCAUUGUCUCUGCACAUUCUAGCAAACCCAAAGGUCGGCAGGUGAAGAUGGCAUUUAUUCACACUGUUGCCAAGCCACCGAGAGAUGUGCGAAUUCAGCAGGAAAUUCAUGGAACUGCUGUUCAGCAGCCUCAUCAGCUCAGGUGCAGCCCUUAACUACAAAGUGAUCACUCAACAACAGCAGCUUAGCAGGGUCAUAAUCUGUCGGAGACUCGUGAUAACGUGUCAAGGUUCAGGACAACAGGCCCAGGCCGAGUUGUAAUGAGCCCAGCAGGUCCAGCAGCACCAGUUCAGGGGCAAGCAAUACACAAGACCCUCG